rnacentral:rRNA from 2 species
GACUGAUGGGAGCUUGCUCCCUGAUGUUAGCGGCGGACGGGUGAGUAACACGUGGGCAACCUGCCUGUAAGACUGGGAUAACUCCGGGAAACCGGGGCUAAUACCGGAUAACCCGUUCCACCUCAUGGUGGAGCGGUAAAAGAUGGCCUCUGGCUAUCACUUACAGAUGGGCCCGCGGCGCAUUAGCUAGUUGGUAAGGUAACGGCUUACCAAGGCGACGAUGCGUAGCCGACCUGAGAGGGUGAUCGGCCACACUGGGACUGAGACACGGCCCAGACUCCUACGGGAGGCAGCAGUAGGGAAUCUUCCGCAAUGGACGAAAGUCUGACGGAGCAACGCCGCGUGAGUGAUGAAGGUUUUCGGAUCGUAAAGCUCUGUUGUUAGGGAAGAACAAGUGCCGUUUGAAUAAGGCGGCACCUUGACGGUACCUAACCAGAAAGCCACGGCUAACUACGUGCCAGCCCCCCCGG